rnacentral:rRNA from 1 species
CCCUUAGAGUUUGAUCCUGGCUCAGAUUGAACGCUGGCGGCAUGCCUUACACAUGCAAGUCGAACGGCAGCACGGGGGCAACCCUGGUGGCGAGUGGCGAACGGGUGAGUAAUAUAUCGGAACGUGCCCUAGAGUGGGGGAUAACGUAGCGAAAGUUACGCUAAUACCGCAUACGAUCUACGGAUGAAAGUGGGGGAUCGCAAGACCUCAUGCUCCUGGAGCGGCCGAUAUCUGAUUAGCUAGUUGGUAGGGUAAAAGCCUACCAAGGCAUCGAUCAGUAGCUGGUCUGAGAGGACGACCAGCCACACUGGGACUGAGACACGGCCCAGACUCCUACGGGAGGCAGCAGUGGGGAAUUUUGGACAAUGGGGGCAACCCUGAUCCAGCAAUGCCGCGUGAGUGAAGAAGGCCUUCGGGUUGUAAAGCUCUUUUGUCGGGAACGAAACGGUGCGGGCUAAUAUCCUGCGCUAAUGACGGUACCCGAAGAAUAAGCACCGGCUAACUACGUACCAGCAGCCGCGGUAAUACGUAGGGUGCAAGCGUUAAUCGGAAUUACUGGGCGUAAAGCGUGCGCAGGCGGUUGUGCAAGACAGAUGUGAAAUCCCCGGGCUUAACCUGGGAAUUGCAUUUGUGACUGCACGGCUAGAGUGUGUCAGAGGGGGGUAGAAUUCCACGUGUAGCAGUGAAAUGCGUAGAUAUGUGGAGGAAUACCGAUGGC